CACGUAGGCGGACUGGUGUGUCGGAUGUGAAAGCCCUCGGCUUAACCGAGGAAGUGCAUUCGAAACUGCCAGCCUUGAGUACGGGAGAGGAUUGCGGAAUUCCCGGUGUAGAGGUGAAACUCGUAGAUAUCGGGAGGAACACCAGUGGCGAAGGCGGCAAUCUGGACCGAUACUGACGCUGAGGUGCGAAAGCGUGGGGAGCAAACA
rnacentral:rRNA from 1 species